rnacentral:rRNA from 1 species
UGAAAAGAACUUUGAAAAGAGAGUUAAAAAGUGCGUGAAACCGUUAGUGGGGAAACGGAUGCAGUUAGCAAUGCUUCGGCGAGAUUCAGGCGGUCACCUGGCUGGACGGGCAGUGUGUGGAUCCGAAUGGACUGUCGCUGCUUGGCUUGGUCUUGUGCUCGUCGCACUUCUCGUCGGAGCGCGUCAACAGCUGCUUGACUUGAGUGAUACGGUGCUCGGGAAGGUAGGCGUGUGUCUUCGGACUUGCGUUGUUAUAGCCCGCGGCAUUCCCAGCUCGAGUUUGGCAGAGGCGAACGGUGCAUGCUCUCUAGGGGGCUGGCGUCCUUCUCUUGAUCGAUUGUCGAGCAUGGCGGACUGCUUGCAGUGCGUCUGAACUGCUGUUGGUCAUUCGGGAGGAUCGCGCACACUAUGCACCUAGGUUGUUGGCGGCCAUAUGGCUUCAUCUGACCCGUCUUGAAACACGGACCAAGGAGUCUAACAUGUGCGCAAGUCUUGGGGUGACCGAAACCCAAAGGCGCAAUGAAAGUAAAGGCUGCCUGGCAGCCGAGGUGAGAUCUUCGUUCCGCGUGUCCGAAGCGCAUCAUCGACCGACCUAUUCUACUCCUAGAAAGGUUGAGUAAAGCGCAUCUUUUG